UCGAGGGGUAACAUUGUAGCUUGCUACAGAUGACGACCGGCGCACGGGUGAGUAACGCGUAUGCAACCUGCCUUUGACAGGGGGAUAGCCCGGAGAAAUCCGGAUUAAUAUCCCAUGGUAUUUACGAAUCGCAUGGUUUGUAAAUUAAAGAUUUUAUCGGUCAAAGAUGGGCAUGCGUGACAUUAGCUAGUUGGUAAGGUAACGGCUUACCAUGCGAUGUCUAGGGGUUCUGAGAGGAUGAUCCCCCACACUGGUACUGAGACACGGACCAGACUCCUACGGGAGGCAGCAGUGAGGAAUAUUGGUCAAUGGGCGCAAGCCUGAACCAGCCAUCCCGCGUGAAGGAAGACUGCCCUAUGGGUUGUAAACUUCUUUUCUGCACCAAGAAUGGUUACUACGUGUAGUGAUUUGACGGUAGUGCAGGAAUAAGCAUCGGCUAACUCCGUGCCAGCAGCCGCGGUAAUACGGAGAUGCAAGCGUUAUCCGGAUUCAUUGGGUUUAAAGGGUACGUA
rnacentral:rRNA from 1 species